rnacentral:rRNA from 11 species
GGUAAAGGCCUAAUUACACUAAAGGCAUCAGAUGUUGUCUGAUCUUGGAAGCUAAGUAGGUUCAGCCCUGGUUAAUACUUGAAUGGGAGAUCACUGACAAUGCAAGGUGCUGUAAGUU